UACGUAGGGACCAAGCGUUGUUCGGAUUUACUGGGCGUAAAGGGCGCGUAGGCGGCAUGACAAGUCACUUGUGAAAUCUCUGGGCUUAACUCAGAACGGCCAAGUGAUACUGUCGCGCUAGAGUGCAGAAAGGGCAAUCGGAAUUCUUGGUGUAGCGGUGAAAUGCGUAGAUAUCAAGAGGAACACCUGAGGCGAAGGCGGGUUGCUAGGCUGACACUGACGCUGAUGCGCGAAGGCCAGGGGAGCAAACGGG
rnacentral:rRNA from 1 species